AGAUGUUAGGGCGAUCUGCCUGAGACAUUUGUCACCCGAUUGAUCGCCAGGGUUGAUUCGGGUGAUCUGGCUGGCUAGGCCGGUGUCCCCUUCCUCCCUCAAUGAUCCAUGUGCGUCCCUCCCAGAGCUGCGUGCUUGGUCGAAGAGGACUACCACCCGGAUAGAGGAGGACUAUUCCUGGGUCAAGGGUAUGCUAGAACCUAUAAACAAGUUCUCACGAAUCUAGUUCACUGUGAAUGCUGUCACGUCAUGCUAAUGUGAUGAUAACAAAAUUCUGAGAAAUCAGAUAAAAAUAAAAUAUAGUAGUGCCGUGGAGUUU
rnacentral:snRNA from 1 species